UACGGGGGGGGUAAGCGUUGUUCGGAAUUAUUGGGCGUAAAGGGCGCGUAGGCGGCCUGGCAAGUGGAUGGUGAAAUCCCUCGGCUUAACCGAGGAACUGCCAUCCAGACUGCUUGGCUUGAGACCGGGAGAGGUGAGUGGAAUUCCCAGUGUAGCGGUGAAAUGCGUAGAUAUUGGGAGGAACACCAGUGGCGAAGGCGGCUCACUGGACCGGUACUGACGCUGAGGCGCGAAAGCGUGGGGAGCAAACAGG
rnacentral:rRNA from 1 species